rnacentral:tRNA from 1 species
AAUAAGUUGCCUGAUUAAAAGGAUUAUUUUGAUAGAAUAAAUUAUAUGAAACUUCAUACUU